GCAAUGGUGGUUCAGUGGUAGGAUUCUCACCUUCCAUGCGGGAGACUCGGGUUCCAUUCCCAGUCAACGCA
rnacentral:tRNA from 1 species